AUCAAAUCUUUAACUCCCUCCACUUUCGCAACCCUUCCUCUCCUCUCCUCUCCUCUCCUUCACACACGCACGCACUCACUCACCUCAGCAGCAGAGCAACACGGAAUGGCGUCGUCGUUCAGCACCGCCGCCUCUCUCUCAUCCCCCAAGCUCGCUCCAUCGCCCAACGCCCCUCUCUCUCCUCCCGUCAGAUCUCUCCCUCUCCUCUCUCCCCCCUCCUCCUCUCUCUUCCCGAACCUCUCUUCGUCUCUGAAGCCCCCUCGCAGCGCUCCUCCGUUCGCCGUCAAAGCUUCUUCUUCUUCUCCCGCCUCCGUAGCCCAGUCUCAAGGCAUCAAGAUUAAAUCUGUUCCGACAAAGCCGAUCGAAGGCCAGAAAACCGGAACAAGUGGUCUUCGAAAGAAGGUUAAAGUAUUUAUGCAAGAAAACUACCUUGCCAAUUGGAUUCAGGCAUUGUUUAAUUCGUUGCCUCCGGAGGAUUUCAAUGAUGGGUUGUUGGUGUUAGGAGGUGAUGGUCGAUAUUUUAACAGAGAAGCUGCCCAGAUAAUAAUUAAGAUUGCUGCCGGGAACGGAGUUGGCAAAAUAUUGGUUGGCAAGGAGGGUAUUUUGUCCACACCAGCUGUUUCCGCUGUAAUCCGGAAGAGAAAGGCCAAUGGUGGUUUUAUAAUGAGUGCAAGUCAUAAUCCUGGUGGACCUGAAUAUGAUUGGGGUAUCAAGUUUAACUACAGCAGUGGGCAACCUGCACCCGAGUCCAUCACUGACAAGAUUUACGGGAACACUCUUUCCAUAUCUGAAAUUAAGAUGGCAGAAAUCUCAGAUGUCGACCUCUCUUCUCUCGGAGUUACUAAGUAUGGGAACUUCAGUGUUGAAGUAGUUGAUCCAGUUUCUGACUAUUUGGAGCUGAUGGAGAAUGUGUUUGAUUUCUUGCUUAUUAGAAGUCUUCUUUCACGGGCAGAUUUCAGGUUUAUAUUUGAUGCCAUGCAUGCAGUUACAGGUGCUUAUGCCAAACCCAUCUUUGUAGACAAGCUAGGAGCGAGUUCAGAUUCCAUUUCAAAUGGAGUGCCUCUUGAAGAUUUUGGGCAUGGUCAUCCAGAUCCCAAUCUCACAUAUGCUAAGGAUUUGGUCGACAUCUUGUUUAGCGAGAAUGCCCCUGAUUUUGGUGCUGCAAGUGAUGGCGAUGGUGACAGAAACAUGAUUCUUGGUCGAGGUUUUUUUGUCACUCCUUCAGAUUCAGUUGCAAUUAUUGCAGCCAAUGCUCAAGAAGCCAUACCAUACUUCCGGGGUGGCCCUAAAGGUUUAGCUCGAUCAAUGCCAACAAGUGGUGCUCUUGAUCGUGUUGCUGAGAAGUUGAAUCUUCCCUUUUUUGAGGUCCCUACAGGUUGGAAAUUCUUUGGGAAUCUUAUGGAUGAUGGAAAACUGUCGAUCUGCGGGGAAGAAAGUUUCGGAACAGGCUCUGAUCACAUUCGUGAGAAGGAUGGCAUAUGGGCUGUGUUGGCUUGGCUUUCAAUACUUGCAUAUCAAAACAAGGAUAAAUCUCCUGGGGAGAAAUUGGUUUCUGUCUCUGAUGUUGUAAAGGAGCAUUGGGCUACAUACGGAAGAAACUUCUUUUCUAGAUAUGAUUAUGAAGAAUGUGAAUCUGAAGGAGCCAACAAAAUGAUAGAAUAUCUUAGAGAUAUGGUUUCUAAGGGCAAGCCAGGUGAUAAAUAUGGAAGCUAUGCUCUUCAAUUUGCAGAUGACUUCACAUAUAUUGAUCCUGUAGAUGGCAGUGUGGCAUCCAAGCAAGGUGUUCGUUUUGUGUUUAGUGAUGGAUCCAGGAUAAUAUUUCGUUUAUCGGGGACUGGUUCUGCUGGUGCAACUGUGAGAAUGUACAUUGAACAGUUCGAGCCAGAUGUUUCAAAACAUGACAUGGAUGCCCAAACUGCACUAAAACCAUUAAUAGAUCUGGCGCUCUCUGUAUCAAAGUUGAAGGACUUCACUGGAAGGGAGAAGCCUACAGUUAUUACAUAGAGCUAAGUGUCUGAUGUUAAUCUCACACGAGGAUGCUGCAUUAUUACGAAUGUCAAAUCAGUAUAUUGUUGUGAUAAACGUCCUGCAGAUUUCGGACAAUACAGACACUAUCCAACAUAAUCUUUUGAGCAAGAAUUGGUGUUUUGUUUCUCUAGAAUCUCUUGUCUAAUAGUCACUAGGUCAAUUGACAUUGUUAACUGUCUGGAAGCUAGCUGCUUAGAAAUUCGCCACUCAUC